rnacentral:rRNA from 1 species
GAUGAACGCUGACAGAAUGCUUAACGCAUGCAAGUCGAUGGGGAAGUGGUGCUUGCACCCUGGCAACCAUGGCGGACGGGUGAGUAACGCGUAAGGGACUUACCUGCAGGACUGGGAUAACAGGGGGAAACUCCUGACAAGACCGGAUAAUGUCAUGGAGCUGCAUGGCUUUAUGAUGAAAGGAGACGCCUGCGGAGAGCCUUGCGUCCUAUUAGCUAGUUGGUGAGGUAAUGGCUCACCAAGGCGAAGAUAGGUAGCCGGCCUGAGAGGGUGGACGGCCACAAGGGGACUGAGAUACGGCCCUUACUCCUACGGGAGGCAGCAGUGGGGAAUAUUGGACAAUGGGGGCAACCCUGAUCCAGCAAUUCUGUGUGCACGAAGAAGGUUUUCGGAUUGUAAAGUGCUUUCAGCAGGGAAGAAGUAAGUGACGGUACCUGCAGAAGAAGCGACGGCUAAAUACGUG